rnacentral:lncRNA from 1 species
AUCCGCGCCCCUAUCCGGCGCGGGCCGCUGCGGAAACGCAGCUCUCCACCCCCAGCUGGCUCUCCCGGACCCCCUGGGCCCCACCCUCAGCGCUCCCCACCGCUCGGCGCCCCUGCGUCUGCGCUCCCCUCUCUCCCCUCUCUAUCCACUGGGUCUGGGCCGCACUUCCCGCCCACCCGCCUGCCAGCGGCCGGGAAGCCUGUGGAAGUUAUGGGGAUGCAGGGAGAGGGGGAGAGGGGAGCUUGUGUGCUAGGGGUGAGUGGGUAUGGGGGAGAGCCUGGGUAAGGAGAAGGGGAAAGGGGGAGCCUGGGAAAGGAGGGAGGAAAGGAGGAGAGCCCGGGUGCUGGGGUGGGGGGG